GGCAUUAAAUUUGUAAAUGGUUUUGUUGGAUCUUCUCCUAUUAAUCCACUAGGAUGAGCACCUACUGGGUUGAAGUAUCUUAAAGAGAUUAUAUUCCAACUCUGUCAAAUGAAACUCUUGAUAUAUCUUUGAGCAUCUCUUCGAUAAAAUACUUAGUACGACCAUAUACAUUAGUUAUAUUUCCUGUAGGAUGUUCUUCAGUUAUUGGUAAUUCAUUUGGUUCUCCAUAUACUGUACAAGAACUACUAAAAACUAAUUGAAAACAACCAGCAGCUUUCAUUACCUAAAAGUAUUAAAUAAUUUUAUAAUAAACUAAAUCUCAUAGUUAUCCUAUAUAAUAAUAAAAUAUUCUUACUUCUAGUAAAUUAAUGGCACCAAUAAUAUUAUUCUUAUAAUAAUGAAGUGGAACUUGCAUAGAUUCUCCCACUGCUUUUAUAGCCGCAAAAUGAAUGACACAAUCUAUUUUAUGCUUAAAAAUAUUAUAAAAAUUAAUAAAAAUACUAUAUUAAUAAAUAGAA